rnacentral:tRNA from 1 species
AGAGGGAUGGCUCAGCAGUUAAGAGCACUAGUCAUUCUUCCAGAGGACCUGGGUUCAAUUCCCAGUACCUGCA